CAGGAGGACACCCGGGGCCUGACCUGUGCACAGCAGGACCUUGCUAUCCCACCAGACCGGAGUACACAGGCUGCAUGUGAAGGAAGAGGCUGAUCUUUGGGCUUUCCAAAAGCUGCAGUUCUGGGACCUGGGGGAAAAUUGGAGUGCCUGGCUUCCAAACAGGCAUAAUGGCUCUCUGCAAGACCAAGCUUGGAUUUUGAUUUUGCUUCCUUUAUGUGAAGCCAGGAGAGAGCUUAGCGCCCAGUACUCCGUGCCCCACCCCCACCACAUCGCAGCCUCCCACAGUCACCAGGAAAAGUGGGGGCUUUCAGCGGCAGCCAGAAGGAAUUCAGAAACAUCACAUUUCAUUUCGGGAAGAAUUGGAUCAGCACCAGUUUGGUGUUGAGGCCAUGAGAUUGUGGCAUUUUUAUCCCAAAUUUAUCCUCCCUUGGUCUCUCUCAGUGUGUGUGUCUGUAGGAAGUCAUCGUGUAGCAUUAUGCUAUGAAGAAAGCAUCCCACACUUAUUCAAUUGCAUCGUCCCACAUUCUGGAUCGGGAGACACAGACUCAAGUCAACCUGCAGCUGCCUAAUUUUGCAGGGAAGCAGCCAUCCUGAUGUUUGCAGGUUGGAGGCCUCCAAGUGACACACAUCAGGAAGAAAUGGGCUCUCCAAUCCCAGAUGAGCUGAAACACAAACGUUUUCUGAGGGAACAGUCAGGAGUCCUAUCUUUCUGAGCCCUUUUCGAUGCAAGCAACCAUUGAUGAAGAAGCAUUUAUGCUUGAUACCUAUGGCAGGUGUUCUUCGGUGUGGAGAUGUUGUCAAUGAAAGAUUCAAAAGUGGUUCAAUUAUCAGAAGACCCUAUUUGUUUGCUUUUGCCCAGCUUUUGUUUGCUCUGUCACUCAGGGAGAAUAUAAACAACUUUGGCGAGGUAAGAUGGAAAAACAGCCGGUACGGAAAUGUUCGAUGGACAAAUGAGAGGACUUGGCAGAAGUUUGGCUUAGAAGAUGAAUGAUAGAGCCCCGGACAGAAUGCAAUAGUGGCAAUAGGCAUGCAUUCUUUGCAGAUGUGCACCGAAGGCUACAGGCUACUGUGUCUUUUUCUUCUGGCUUCUCUCUUGAGCUUCUGACACUGCACAGAAAGUGGGUCGGUCCUCUGACAGGCUUGAAAAAUGCAAAAGUUUACCACCAACUGGUGGGAAUACAUGCAACACAUGCAUAAAACAGAGCAUCAG
rnacentral:lncRNA from 1 species